rnacentral:rRNA from 1 species
AGUCGAGCGGAUGAAGAGAGCUUGCUCUCUGAUUCAGCGGCGGACGGGUGAGUAAUGCCUAGGAAUCUGCCUGGUAGUGGGGGACAACGUUUCGAAAGGAACGCUAAUACCGCAUACGUCCUACGGGAGAAAGCAGGGGACCUUCGGGCCUUGCGCUAUCAGAUGAGCCUAGGUCGGAUUAGCUAGUUGGUGAGGUAAUGGCUCACCAAGGCGACGAUCCGUAACUGGUCUGAGAGGAUGAUCAGUCACACUGGAACUGAGACACGGUCCAGACUCCUACGGGAGGCAGCAGUGGGGAAUAUUGGACAAUGGGCGAAAGCCUGAUCCAGCCAUGCCGCGUGUGUGAAGAAGGUCUUCGGAUUGUAAAGCACUUUAAGUUGGGAGGAAGGGUUGUAGAUUAAUACUCUGCAAUUUUGACGUUACCGACAGAAUAAGCACCGGCUAACUCUGUGCCAGCAGCCGCGGUAAUACAGAGGGUGCAAGCGUUAAUCGGAAUUACUGGGCGUAAAGCGCGCGUAGGUGGUUCGUUAAGUUGGAUGUGAAAGCCCCGGGCUCAACCUGGGAACUGCAUUCAAAACUGACGAGCUAGAGUAUGGUAGAGGGUGGUGGAAUUUCCUGUGUAGCGGUGAAAUGCGUAGAUAUAGGAAGGAACACCAGUGGCGAAGGCGACCACCUGGACUGAUACUGACACUGAGG